rnacentral:rRNA from 1 species
GAUUAACGCUGGCGGCGUGCAUAACACAUGCAAGUCGAACGAUGAAACUUUACUGACUUCUUCGGAAUGAUUUAAAGCGGAUUAGUGGCGAACGGGUGAGUAACGCGUGAGUAACCUGCCUUACACAAGGGGAUAGCCUCUGGAAACGGAGAAUAAUACCCUAUGAAACCAGACAAUCGCAUGAUAAUCUGGUCAAAAUGUUUAGUGGUGUAAGAUGGACUUGCGUCUGAUUAGCUAGUUGGUGAGAUAAAAGCUCACCAAGGCAACGAUCAGUAGCCGGCUUGAGAGAGUGUACGGCCACAUUGGGACUGAGACACGGCCCAGACUCCUACGGGAGGCAGCAGUGGGGAAUGUUGCACAAUGGGGGAAACCCUGAUGCAGCGACGCCGCGUGAUUUAGAAGGCCUUCGGGUUGUAAAAAUCUUUUGUAUAGGAAGAAAAUGACAGUACUAUACGAAUAAGGUCCGGCUAAUUACGUG